UACGAAGGGGGCUAGCGUUGCUCGGAAUCACUGGGCGUAAAGGGUGCGUAGGCGGGUCUUUUAAGUCAGGGGUGAAAUCCUGGAGCUCAACUCCAGAACUGCCUUUGAUACUGAGGAUCUUGAGUUCGGGAGAGGUGAGUGGAAUUGGCGAGUGUAGAGGUGAAAUUCGUAGAUAUUCGCAAGAACACCAGUGGCGAAGGCGGCUCACUGGCCCGAUACUGACGCUGAGGAGCGAAAGCCAGGGGAGCAAAGCGGGAUUAAGAUGACCCCG
rnacentral:rRNA from 1 species